UACGUAGGGUGCGAGCGUUGCCCGGAUUUAUUGGGCGUAAAGGGCGCGUAGGCGGCUCUGCACGUCCGUUGUGAAAUCGCCCGGCUCAACUGGGCGGGGUCAGCGGAUACGGCAGAGCUCGAGCAAGCUAGGGGGCAAGUGGAAUUCCCGGUGUAGUGGUGGAAUGCGUAGAUAUCGGGAGGAACACCAGUGGCGAAGGCGACUACCUGGCCUGUUCUUGACGCUGAGGCGCGAAAGCUAGGGGAGCAAACAGG
rnacentral:rRNA from 1 species